UACGGAAGGCAGCAGGGGGAAUAUUGCACAAUGGGCGCAAGCCUGAUGCAGCCAUGCCGCGUGUAUGAAGAAGGCCUUCGGGUUGUAAAGUACUUUCAGCGGGGAGGAAGGCGAUGCGGUUAAUAACCGCGUCGAUUGACGUUACCCGCAGAAGAAGCACCGGCUAACUCCGUGCCAGCAGCCGCGGUAAUACGGAGGGUGCAAGCGUUAAUCGGAAUUACUGGGCGUAAAGCGCACGCAGGCGGUCUGUUAAGUCAGAUGUGAAAUCCCCGGGCUUAACCUGGGAACUGCAUUUUGAAACUGGCAGGCUUGAGUCUUGUAGAGGGGGUAGAAGUUCCAGGUGUAGCGGUGAAAUGCGUAGAGAUCUGGAGGAAUACCGGUGCGAAGGCGGCCCCUGGGACAAAGCUGACGCUCAGGUGCGAAAGCGUGGGGAGCAAACAGGGAUUAGAUACC
rnacentral:rRNA from 1 species